AGCAGUAGCCGCGGGAAAACCGAGGGUGCAAGCGUUAAUCGGAAUUACUGGGCGUAAAGCGCGCGUAGGUGGUUUGUUAAGUUGGAUGUGAAAGCCCCGGGCUCAACCUGGGAACUGCAUCCAAAACUGGCAAGCUAGAGUACGGUAGAGGGUGGUGGAAUUUCCUGUGUAGCGGUGAAAUGCGUAGAUAUAGGAAGGAACACCAGUGGCGAAGGCGACCACCUGGACUGAUACUGACACUGAGGUGCGAAAGCGUGGGGAGCAAACAGGAUUAGAUACCCCAGUAGUCCCUGUCUCUUAUAC
rnacentral:rRNA from 1 species